AUCCUUUCGGUUCACAAAGUCAUGCCAUUGCGUGACCUGUGCUGCCCAUUAAACCUUGUCAUUACAUGGGCACAUUACCUGUCUGAUG
ensembl:snoRNA LOC120098011 small nucleolar RNA U13